GGGUUGGGUUUAAAUUAAUAGGUAUGCAUGUUUUUUCUAGCACUAAAUAGAAAGUUGAUAAAAAUUAACCUAUGCACAUGAUUAUAAAAUACAAAUAUAUUAACUGAGAUUUAUGUGUAAAAACGAGUUCUUAAUUAUAAAAUAAGUCUCACACAAUAUAUGCAAAAACAAUCCUAAAAAUAGAAUAAAAUGAUUUAUUACUUUUAUUUCUUUAUUAAAUUAAAACAUCAAACAAAAUCCGUUGCAACGCACGGGCUCAUAUCUAGUGUUUUAUAUUCUGUAGAAUUAAUUCUAGGGCAAAUUUUACAAAUAACCAUUUUUUUUAAUUUUUUUCACAAAUAGUUUCUAAGAGAAAAAAGUAAAAAAUGAUUCGUAGCAGAAAAAAAAAACCAAAAUAAAUUUCACUUAAAAAAGCAAAAAUAACCAAAAUAAUUUUACAAAAAAAGCAAAAAAUUCUUAUACCUCUUGUUUUAUAGACAUGGGUGAAGCUAGG
rnacentral:lncRNA from 1 species